CCUACGGGUGGCUGCAGUGGGGAAUAUUGGACAAUGGGGGGAACCCUGAUCCAGCGACGCCGCGUGAGUGAAGAAGUAUUUCGGUAUGUAAAGCUCUAUCAGCAGGGAAGAAAGAAAUGACGGUACCUGACUAAGAAGCCCCGGCUAACUACGUGCCAGCAGCCGCGGUAAUACGUAGGAGGCAAGCGUUAUCCGGAAUGACUGGGCGGAAAGGGUGCGUAGGUGGUUUGACAAGUAGGUAGCGUAACUCCGGAGCUCAACUUCGGAACUAAUACCAAAACUGUUGGACUCGAGGGCAGGAGUGGCAACUGGAAUUUCUAGUGUAGCGGUGGAAUGCGUAGAUAUUAGGAAGAACACCGGUGGCGAAGGCGAGUUGCUGGACUGUAACUGACACUGAGGCACGAAAGCGUGGGGAGCAAACAGGAUUAGAUACCCUGGUAGUC
rnacentral:rRNA from 1 species